rnacentral:rRNA from 1 species
AUGAAGUGUAUGGAGAUUUUGUUCUACUAUUUUACUUCUUUUCUUUUUCCUCCUUCAUGUAUUCUGUUUAUAUGUUUUACUUUAAUGAGUAGGCUACAGAAAGUCUCUCAUCUGGACGUUUGGUUAGUAUCAUCUCUUGACAAUGCAGAUUCUGUGGGUGAACCUAUUGUGCCUAACGACUUUGCGGAAGAUGGUUCUUAUCCUAUGUCUACGGAACUAUCUGGUGAUGAAGGAGGGUUUGACAAAUCUCUUUUGAAGUUCUAUUUGAAUCAAGUGUGUUUUCCUUUUCUUGUACUAUUUUGA